GAUUCCCCCAGUAGCGGCGAGCGAACGGGGAGGAGCCCAGAGCCUGAAUCAGCAUGUGUGUUAGUGGAAGCGUCUGGAAAGGCGCGCGAUACAGGGUGACAGCCCCGUACACAAAAGCGCAUGUGCUGUGAGCUCGAUGAGUAGGGCGGGACACGUGGUAUCCUGUCUGAAUAUGGGGGGACCAUCCUCCAAGGCUAAAUACUCCUGACUGACCGAUAGUGAACCAGUACCGUGAGGGAAAGGCGAAAAGAACCCCGGCGAGGGGAGUGAAAAAGAACCUGAAACCGUGUACGUACAAGCAGUGGGAGCACCCUUUGGGGUGUGACUGCGUACCUUUUGUAUAAUGGGUCAGCGACUUAUAUUCUGUAGCAAGGUUAACCGUAUAGGGGAGCCGGAGGGAAACCGAGUCUUAACCGGGCGUUAAGUUGCAGGGUAUAGACCCGAAACCCGGUGAUCUAGCCAUGGGCAGGUUGAAGGUUGGGUAACACUAACUGGAGGACCGAACCGACUAAUGUUGAAAAAUUAGCGGAUGACCUGUGGCUGGGGGUGAAAGGCCAAUCAAACCGGGAGAUAGCUGGUUCUCCCCGAAAGCUAUUUAGGUAGCGCCUCGUGAAUUCAUCUCCGGGGGUAGAGCACUGUUUCGGCUAGGGGGCCAUCCCGGCUUACCAACCCGAUGCAAACUGCGAAUACCGGAGAAUGUUAUCACGGGAGACACACGGCGGGUGCUAACGUCCGUCGUGAAGAGGGAAACAACCCAGACCGCCAGCUAAGGUCCCAAAGUCAUGGUUAAGUGGGAAACGAUGUGGGAAGGCCCAGACAGCCAGGAUGUUGGCUUAGAAGCAGCCAUCAUUUAAAGAAAGCGUAAUAGCUCACUGGUCGAGUCGGCCUGCGCGGAAGAUGUAACGGGGCUAAACCAUGCACCGAAGCUGCGGCAGCGACACUCAGGUGUUGUUGGGUAGGGGAGCGUUCUGUAAGCCUGCGAAGGUGUGUCGUGAGGCAUGCUGGAGGUAUCAGAAGUGCGAAUGCUGACAUAAGUAACGAUAAAGCGGGUGAAAAGCCCGCUCGCCGGAAGACCAAGGGUUCCUGUCCAACGUUAAUCGGGGCAGGGUGAGUCGACCCCUAAGGCGAGGCCGAAAGGCGUAGUCGAUGGGAAACGGGUUAAUAUUCCCGUACUUGGUGUUACUGCGAAGGGGGGACGGAGAAGGCUAUGUUGGCCGGGCGACGGUUGUCCCGGUUUAAGCGUGUAGGUGUGUGUUCCAGGUAAAUCCGGUU
rnacentral:rRNA from 1 species